CGUUAAGGCCUUGGAGCAAGGGUGGGCUUACGAAUCGUGUCAGGUCCGGAAGGAAGCAGCACUAAGUUUGUUUCGCUUUGUGCUUCAAGUUUAUGAGCUAAUU
rnacentral:SRP_RNA from 1 species